rnacentral:misc_RNA from 1 species
GCUAAUUCAAACUUGCUUCUUUUGAAUUAGCUGGAAUACACUCAUGUGUCUCACGAAGCACAUUUAGUAAUAAUUUUAAUUUAGUAGAAUGUUAAUUGAUUUUGUUGUUGAACUUAAGAAAUCCUUGACAUGGGGUCCUUGGAUAUGGUAUCAGACUACUACUGCUGGGUCAAAGACACUGGAAGUCUGUGAUUAUCUGGGAGAAUCGUUGGCUUCAUUUUUUGGCAUUACAACCGCUAAGGACCAGUUUGAGAUAGACCACUUCAAUCAGCUGGUGGCUGAGGAGGAGGCUUUAAAGAAGGAACAAGACCUGGAGAUGGAGGAUGGGUGACCAAGUCAGCUGAAGAGCAGACAGCCACUGGGGUUGCACCAAGCGUUACUGAGCCUCCUUCCACACAGAGGACACUUUGAUGAUUCUCCAUGCCUUCUGUGUCUGAAAGAUUAUUUUAUUCUACAAUUGAAAAUUUAAAGAUUUUACUAACAAUAUAUUUAAACUAUUAACUUGUAAAUAUUGUGUCUAAUUAUUUUUUUCCUUGUAAGUUAAAUAUGUAUGUAAAGGAAAGUGUUGAUUUGUAUUAAAAAAUAUUAUUUAUUGGUCGUAUGCUGUACUGAGCUUGGGCCCCUACAUAGUCUAAUUUGGUUGGCCACAACUAUCAUGCAAGAGAUUAGGUUCAGAACAAACUAUUGUUGUUGAUAUAACAUAAAUAAUAAGCAACAAGACAUGGGUGUUGAACAU